CCAGGCACUCAACAACUGGGGACUGGCUCUGCAGGAACUCAGUGCAAUUGUUCCUGUACGAGAAAAGCAAGCAAUUGUGAAAACCGCAAUCAAUAAGUAUGGAUUAGCAGAAGGCACGUCAAGAACUGGGGGAUCAGUCAAUGUAAAAGAAGUUUCAUCUAAUGAAUUAUUCAGCCAAUCUGCAAUUUACAUUGCCGCUGCUCAUGCAUUGAAACCGACUUACUCUGUUUAUGCUAGUGCCUUGAAGCUUGGUGCUCCAUGGU